GAUGAACGCUGGCGGCGUGCCUAAUACAUGCAAGUCGAGCGAACGGACGAGAAGCUUGCUUCUCAGAUGUUAGCGGCGGACGGGUGAGUAACACGUGGAUAACCUACCUAUAAGACUGGGAUAACUUCGGGAAACCGGAGCUAAUACCGGAUAAUAUUUUGAACCGCAUGGUUCAAAAGUGAAAGACGGUCUUGCUGUCACUUAUAGAUGGAUCCGCGCUGCAUUAGCUAGUUGGUAAGGUAGCGGCUUACCAAGGCAACGAUGCAUAGCCGACCUGAGAGGGUGAUCGGCCACACUGGAACUGAGACACGGUCCAGACUCCUACGGGAGGCAGCAGUAGGGAAUCUUCCGCAAUGGGCGAAAGCCUGACGGAGCAACGCCGCGUGAGUGAUGAAGGUCUUCGGAUCGUAAAACUCUGUUAUUAGGGAAGAACAUAUGUGUAAGUAACUGUGCACAUCUUGACGGUACCUAAUCAGAAAGCCACGGCUAACUACGUG
rnacentral:rRNA from 1 species